UUAUAAAAUCUUAAGUAGUUUCAUAAAUAAUUGUGGAAUUUUACAACGAUUUUUGUAUGGUUUCUUAUUCUUGAUUAGUUUUGCUUGUACAUAACCUCAUUUUGCGUAAUAGCCUGGCACUAGUGUUCACGGUUGUCGGUAUGGGAUUUCUGUGCCCAACAACAUUGUUUAUAUCUGUGUCAUGUUGAGAUAGUGGGGGAAAAUUUUAUGCUUUGCAAGAAUGGGUAAUAUUUGACCUACAUAGGUUUAUGUACUUACCUGCAAUAGUCUAUAUUUACCUUUAAUGAAAUUGCUUUUAAUUUCAGAAACGUUUUUCGCCUUGAAGCAAUGUUUAAAAGAGAAAUUAUAACUGUCAUAUCGACAAGCCCAAGUACAUAGUUUGGGUCAAUUUUAGCUUUUGAAUCAUAUGGAGGUUACCAAUUAAGCUGCCAAUCCCCCACGGCCGUCGGGUCCACUUAUGCAAGGAUUUUAGCCUAGUCAGUUAAAAGUAGCGCUAAGCAAAAUUGUCAUUAAUUCGAAUGACCCAUAGAGUCUUGCAGAAGGUCCCAUUGCACUGACGCCAUUCCUUAUAAAACAGAACAGGGACCUACGCCGAAAUGCAAGGAUUUUAGCCUAGUCAGUUAAAAGUAGCGCUGUUAGUAUUGCUAGAAAAACGAUUUUAAUAAUCCAUUUCAAUAAUGUUAUAUUCUAGAAGCAAAAUUGUCAUUAAUUCGAAUGACCCAUAGAGUCUUGCAGAAGGUCCCAUUGCACU